GAUGAACGCUGGCGGCGUGCCUAAUACAUGCAAGUCGAGCGAACAGACGAGGAGCUUGCUCCUCUGACGUUAGCGGCGGACGGGUGAGUAACACGUGGAUAACCUACCUAUAAGACUGGGAUCACUUCGGGAAACCGGAGCUCAUACCGGAUAAUAUAUUGAACCGCAUGGUUCAAUAGUGAAAGCCGGUUUUGCUGACACUUAUAGAUGGAUCCGCGCCGCAUUAGCUAGUUGGUAGGGUAACGGCUUACCAAGGCAACGAUGCGUAGCCGACCUGAGAGGGUGAUCAGCCACACUGGAACUGAGACACGGUCCAGACUCCUACGGGAGGCAGCAGUAGGGAAUCUUCGGCAAUGGGCGAAAGCCUGACGGAGCAACGCCGCGUGAGUGAUGAAGGUCUUCGGAUCGUAAAACUCUUUUAGUAGGGAAGAACAGAUGUGUAAUUAACUAUGCACGUCUUGACGGUACCUAAUCAGAAAGCCACGGCUAACUACGUG
rnacentral:rRNA from 1 species